AGAGUUUGAUCAUGGCUCAGAACAAACGCUGGCGGCGUGGCUAAGGCAUGCAAGUCGAACGGACGUACGGGAUAGGAAACUUGAUCGUACGUUAGUGGCGAACGGGUGAGGAAUGCAUGGAUAACGUGCCCUGGACUUGGGGAUAGCGGCGGAACCUUCGGGUUCCUUUGCGAAAGUGCCGGUAAUACCCAAUGACCCCGCAGGGUCGCAUGACCCCGCGGGCAAAGCUCCGACGGUCCAGGAGCGGUUCAUGUCCUAUCAGCUAGUUGGUGGGGUAACGGCCCACCAAGGCGACAACGGGUAGCGGGCGUGAGAGCGUGACCCGCCUCAUCGGGACUGAGACACGGCCCGGACACCUACGGGUGGCUGCAGCAACGAAUAUUCCGCAAUGGACGAAAGUCUGACGGAGCGACGCCGCGUGCAGGAAGAAGUCCCUCGGGAUGUAAACUGCUGUCAGGGGUGAGGAAUAUCGACCAACCCCAGAGGAAGCACUGGCUAACUCCGUGCCAGCA
rnacentral:rRNA from 1 species